CGGCACGGGUGAGUAACACGUAUGCAACCUGGCCGUCACAGGUGGAUAACCGGAAGAAAUUCCGACUAAUACAGCAUAACACUCCUGAGGGACAUCCUUCGGGAGUCAAAGGAGGCAACUCCGGUGACGGAUGGGCAUGCGGCGCAUUAGGUAGUUGGUAGGGUAACGGCCUACCAAGCCGACGAUGCGUAGGGGUUCUGAGAGGAAGGUCCCCCACAUUGGAACUGAGACACGGACCAGACUCCUACGGAAGGCAGCAG
rnacentral:rRNA from 1 species